GGACGAACGCUGGCGGCGUGCUUAACACAUGCAAGUCGAACGAGGUGAUUGAAAGCUUGCUUUGAGAACCGAGUGGCAAACGGGUGAGUAACGCGUAGACAACCUGCCGCAAAGAUGGGGACAACAGUCCGAAAGGACUGCUAAUACCGAAUGUUGUCAAGCUUCCGCAUGGGAGUUUGAUUAAAGAUGGCCUCUACUUGUAAGCUAUCGCUUUGCGAUGGGUCUGCGUCUGAUUAGCUAGUUGGUGGGGUAACGGCCUACCAAGGCGACGAUCAGUAGCCGGUCUGAGAGGAUGAACGGCCACAUUGGAACUGAGACACGGUCCAGACUCCUACGGGAGGCAGCAGUGGGGAAUCUUCCGCAAUGGGCGAAAGCCUGACGGAGCAACGCCGCGUGAGUGAAGGAAAGGGUUUCGGCUCGUAAAGCUCUGUUGAUGGGGACGAAUGUGCGAAAUGCGAAUAGUUUUUCGCAAUGACGGUACCCGUCGAGGAAGCCACGGCUAACUACGUGCCAGCAGCCGC
rnacentral:rRNA from 1 species